CCUACGGGGAGCAGCAGUGAGGAAUAUUGGUCAAUGGACGCAAGUCUGAACCAGCCAUGCCGCGUGCAGGAAGACGGCUCUAUGAGUUGUAAACUGCUUUUGUACGAGGGUAAACGCAGAUACGCGUAUCUGUCUGAAAGUAUCGUACGAAUAAGGAUCGGCUAACUCCGUGCCAGCAGCCGCGGUAAUACGGAGGAUUCAAGCGUUAUCCGGAUUUAUUGGGUUUAAAGGGUGCGUAGGCGGUGGGGUAAGUCAGAGGUGAAAUCCCGAGGCUCAACUCCGGAAUUGCCUCUGAUACUGGUAGGCUAGAGUGUCGGAGCGGCAGGCGGAAUGUAUGGUGUAGCGGUGAAAUGCGUAGAGAUCAGACAGAACACCGGUGGCGAAGGCAGCUUGC
rnacentral:rRNA from 1 species